rnacentral:rRNA from 1 species
GACGUAGGGUGCAAGCGUUGUCCGGAAUUAUUGGGCGUAAAGAGCUCGUAGGCGGCUUGUCGCGUCGGCUGUGAAAACCUGGGGCUCAACCCCGGGCCUGUAGCCGAUACGGGCAAGCUAGAAUUCGGUAGGGGAGACUGGAAUUCCUGGUGUAGCGGUGAAAUGCGCAGAUAUCAGGAGGAACACCAAUAGCGAAGGCAGCUCGCUGGGACGGUACUGACGCUAAGGCGCGAAAGCGUGGGGAGCGAACAGG